rnacentral:rRNA from 1 species
GACGUAGGGGGCGAGCGUUGUCCGGAUUUAUUGGGCGUAAAGAGCGCGUAGGCGGCCCGGAAAGUCGGAUGUGAAAACCCGGGGCUCAACUCCGGAUCUGCGGUGGGUACGGGCAGACUAGAGUGAUGUAGGGGAGACUGGAAUUCCUGGUGUAGCGGUGAAAUGCGCAGAUAUCAGGAGGAACACCGAUGGCGAAGGCAGGUCUCUGGGCAUUAACUGACGCUGAGGAGCGAAAGCAUGGGGAGCGAACAGG